CAAAAAGAUGGCUUCUCAGGGGCUUUUGCUGUGUGUCUUACUGAUCUCUAUCCAUGGAUCCUGUGGACAGAUUGUACUGAUCCAAUUUCCAGAUGAUACCUCUGUGUCCUUAGAACACACAAUCACCAUCACAUGUAAACCCAGUACUGGUAAAAGCAACAACUUACACUGGCUCCAAAAGAAAUCAGGAGAAUUGCCAAAGCUUCUUAUCUAUGUUGCAAACAACCGAGAAACAGGAGUCCCAGACCGGGUCACUCGAUCUGGAUCUGGAGAAGAUGUCACUCUUAUAGAUGGAGGAAUGACGAUUGAAGGAAAUUAUUACUGUCAGCAUACUGCUAGCGAUCCUCACAGUGAUACAGAGCCGUAUAAGAACCUUCAACAAGUUAACAAAAAGUAAUUUUUACUAAAGUUUAAAGGGGUAUUCCAAUCUCAGACAAUGGGGGCAUAUCACUAGGAUAUGCCCCCAUUGUCUAGGACUCACACCUACACUGAGAACAGAGUGAGAAAGGUGGUGGCCGGCCACUAGCAAGAGUUCUCACCAUAGUAGUGAAUAGGAGCACACCGCUCCCAUUCAUUUCUAUGGGGCAGAUGGAAAUAGCAGAGCCAGUGUCCGGCUAUUUUCGGCGGCCCCAUAGAAAUGAAUGGAGGGCUGCUGUGCAUGCACAGUGUGCCCCCCCCCCACCUUAACUUUCGUGGCACCGUUCUCAGUGUAGGUGUCAUAGAGAUAUGGACUACAUUCUUUAAUUCAGCUAAGAAAGCUCCCACAUACUCUAGCUCUCAGUCAACACUUUAUCUUCUCCAGAGCACAAAGGUUCCAUCCUAUCGAAGAGACCAUGCCUCCUUACUACGUCAUAUAUGCUUUUUUGCUGUUAGUGAAGACUCCAUUACAAGAUGGCGCUUACAGCUAAAUAUUUGCAUAGUUUACAUACUACAGUUAGUAAAACCAUGCGCAG